rnacentral:rRNA from 1 species
GGGGAAUAUUGCACAAUGGGCGAAAGCCUGAUGCAGCAACGCCGCGUGAGUGAUGAAGGCCUUCGGGUUGUAAAGCUCUGUCUUCUGGGACGAUAAUGACGGUACCAGAGGAGGAAGCCACGGCUAACUACGUGCCAGCAGCCGCGGUAAUACGUAGGUGGCAAGCGUUGUCCGGAUUUACUGGGCGUAAAGGAUGCGUAGGCGGAUACUUAAGUCAGAUGUGAAAAUCCCGGGCUUAACUUGGGAACUGCAUUUGAAACUGGGUAUCUAGAGUGCGGGAGAGGAAAGUGGAAUUCCUAGUGUAGCGGUGAAAUGCGUAGAGAUUAGGAAGAACACCAGUGGCGAAGGCGACUUUCUGAACCGUAACUGACGCUGAGGCAUGAAAGCGUGGGGAGCAAACA